rnacentral:snoRNA from 1 species
CUGCAUGAGUUGCAUCCUUCUGUAAAUAUGGACAAACAAUAAAGUUGAAGACAUUCAAGUGAGCACCGUGUGAGUCAUUGGUGCUCAUAAAGGACCAUCACACAUAC